rnacentral:rRNA from 1 species
GGUCAAGUGACUAAGCGUGCACGGUGGAUGCCUUGGCAGUCAGAGGCGAUGAAGGACGUGGUAACCUGCGAUAAGGUUCGGUGAGUCGGUAAACAGACUUUGACCCGGACAUUUCCGAAUGGGGAAACCCACCCAGUAUAAGCUGGGUAUCUCUUAAGUGAAUACAUAGCUUUUGAGAGGCGAACCCGGGGAACUGAAACAUCUAAGUACCCGGAGGAAAAGAAAUCAACCGAGAUUCCCCUAGUAGCGGCGAGCGAACGGGGACCAGCCCUUAAGCUACUUUAACGUUAGCAAAACACUCUGGAAAGUGUGGCCAUAGUGGGUGAUAGCCCCGUAUGCGAAAGCGUUUUAGUAGUGAAAUCGAGUAGGACGGGACACGUGAUAUCCUGUCUGAAUAUGGGGGGACCAUCCUCCAAGGCUAAAUACUCCUGACUGACCGAUAGUGAACCAGUACCGUGAGGGAAAGGCGAAAAGAACCCCUGUGAGGGGAGUGAAAUAGAACCUGAAACCGUGUACGUACAAGCAGUGGGAGCGGUCCUUGAGACCGUGACUGCGUACCUUUUGUAUAAUGGGUCAGCGACUUAAUUUUAGUAGCAAGGUUAACCGUAUAGGGGAGCCGUAGGGAAACCGAGUCUUAAUAGGGCGUGCAGUUGCUAGGAUUAGACCCGAAACCGAGCGAUCUAUCCAUGGGCAGGUUGAAGGUUGAGUAACAUCAACUGGAGGACCGAACCGACUACCGUUGAAAAGUUAGCGGAUGACCUGUGGAUCGGAGUGAAAGGCUAAUCAAGCUCGGAGAUAGCUGGUUCUCCUCGAAAGCUAUUUAGGUAGCGCCUCGUGUCUCACCAUUGGGGGUAGAGCACUGUUUCGGCUAGGGGGUCAUCCCGACUUACCAACCCGAUGCAAACUCCGAAUACCAAUGAGUGCAAUCACGGGAGACACACGGCGGGUGCUAACGUCCGUCGUGAAAAGGGAAACAACCCAGACCGUCAGCUAAGGUCCCAAAGUUAUGGUUAAGUGGGAAACGAUGUGGGAAGGCUUAGACAGCUAGGAGGUUGGCUUAGAAGCAGCCACCCUUUAAAGAAAGCGUAAUAGCUCACUAGUCGAGUCGGCCUGCGCGGAAGAUAUAACGGGGCUCAAACCAUACACCGAAGCUACGGACGCUGUUUACAGCGUGGUAGAGGAGCGUUCUGUAAGCCGUUGAAGGGAAAGCUGUAAGGCAUCCUGGAGGUAUCAGAAGUGCGAAUGCUGACAUGAGUAACGAUAAGGGGAGUGAAAAACUUCCCCGCCGGAAGACCAAGGGUUCCUAUCCAAUGCUAAUCAGGGUAGGGUGAGUCGACCCCUAAGGCGAGGCUGAAGAGCGUAGUCGAUGGGAAACAGGUUAAUAUUCCUGUACUUCUUGUUAUUGCGAUGGAGUGACGGAGAAAGCUAGGCCAGCACGGCGUUGGUUGUCCGUGUUUAAGGUUGUAGGUUUAGGACUUAGGAAAAUCCGGGUCCUUCUAGACUGAGAAUUGAUGACGAGCCCUCUUUUGGGUGAAGUGGUUGAUGCUAUGCUUCCAGGAAAAACUUCUAAGCUUCAGAUAACAAGAAAUCGUACCCCAAACCGACACAGGUGGUCAGGUAGAGAAUACCAAGGCGCUUGAGAGAACUCGGGUGAAGGAACUAGGCAAAAUGGUACCGUAACUUCGGGAGAAGGUACGCCGGUGCUGGUGAUGGGACUUGCUCCCUAAGCUGGCGCUGGUCGAAGAUACUAGGUGGCUGCGACUGUUUAUUAAAAACACAGCACUCUGCAAACACGAAAGUGGACGUAUAGGGUGUGACGCCUGCCCGGUGCUUGAAGGUUAAUUGAUGGGGUUAGCUUCGGCGAAGCUCUUGAUCGAAGCCCAAGUAAACGGCGGCCGUAACUAUAACGGUCCUAAGGUAGCGAAAUUCCUUGUCGGGUAAGUUCCGACCUGCACGAAUGGCGUAACGAUGGCCACACUGUCUCCACCCGAGACUCAGUGAAAUUGAAAUUGCGGUUAAGAUGCCGUAUAUCCGCGGCUAGACGGAAAGACCCCGUGAACCUUUACUAUAGCUUCGCAGUGGACUUUGAUAUUACUUGUGUAGGAUAGCUGGGAGGCUUUGAAAUCUGGACGCCAGUUCAGAUGGAGCCAAUCUUGAAAUACCAGCCUGGUACUAUUGAGGUUCUAACUCAGGUCCCUUAUCGGGAUCGAGGACAUUGUGUGGUGGGUAGUUUGACUGGGGCGGUCUCCUCCCAAAGAGUAACGGAGGAGUACGAAGGUGCGCUCAGCAUGGUCGGAAAUCAUGCAUCGAGUAUAAAGGCAUAAGCGCGCUUGACUGCGAGACAGACACGUCGAGCAGGUACGAAAGUAGGUCUUAGUGAUCCGGUGGUUCUGUAUGGAAGGGCCAUCGCUCAACGGAUAAAAGGUACUCCGGGGAUAACAGGCUGAUACCGCCCAAGAGUUCACAUCGACGGCGGUGUUUGGCACCUCGAUGUCGGCUCAUCACAUCCUGGGGCUGAAGCCGGUCCCAAGGGUAUGGCUGUUCGCCAUUUAAAGUGGUACGCGAGCUGGGUUUAGAACGUCGUGAGACAGUUCGGUCCCUAUCUGCCGUGGACGUUUGAGAUUUGAGAAGAGUUGCUCCUAGUACGAGAGGACCGGAGUGAACGAACCUCUGGUGUUCGGGUUGUCAUGCCAAUGGCAUUGCCCGGUAGCUAUGUUCGGACAGGAUAACCGCUGAAAGCAUCUAAGCGGGAAGCCCCCUUCAAGAUGAGAUCUCACUGGGGCCUUGAGCCCCCUGAAGAGCCGUUCAAGACCAGGACGUUGAUAGGCUGGGUGUGUAAGCGUUGUGAGGCGUUGAGCUAACCAGUACUAAUUGCUCGUGAGGCUUGACCAU